CCCUUAGAUGUUCUGGGCCGCACACGCGCUACACUGAAGGAGGCAGCGUGUACUCCUGGAUCGAAAGAUUUGGGUAACCCGCGAAUCUCCUUCGUGCUAGGGAUUGAGGUUUGCAAUUAUCCUUCAUGAACGAGGAAUUCCCAGUAAGUGCAAGUCAUAAGCUUGCGCUGACUACGUCCCUGCCCUUUGUACACCCCGCCCGUCGCUACUACCGAUUGAAUGAUUUAGUGAGGACUUCGGACUGGGACCGAUGCGGCUUUCGGGCUGCGUCGGUAUUCUGGAAAGAUGUCCAAACUGUAUCAUUUAGAGGAAGUAAAANUCGUAACA
rnacentral:rRNA from 1 species